rnacentral:lncRNA from 1 species
UCCACCAACUCGAAGCAGGAAGUCCUCUUGGUUCCUGGUGGGGUGAACAUCUUGGACGUCAAAGGAGGACCUCCCUCAGGAACCACUCCAGACUCCAGUAGAAUGACCAAUGAUGCUGUGAAGACAUCUGUGAGGAUCCAGGCCUUUCCUGAACUGGAGAAUACAACCCCGCACAAUCGUUUCAGUACAAAAUCUGCAGGUUCCCACAACACCCCUGUUUUGGUUGCAGUCCCUGCUGUGAGCUUGCCCCAUCCUGACCAGACUCUGCAGACCACCAGCAGGCCUUCAGUGUCUACUUCUGGAAGUUUCAACCUUGUUUAUGGUGGAA